rnacentral:lncRNA from 1 species
UAAUCUUAUUCUUAACUAACCAGCUUACGACCUUAAGUGGAUCUCACAGAAAAAUAGUAAACGAUGUACUUCCAAACCACUUUUAUAACUUAACAUGCUGGCUUUAUAUCUUUAAUUUAUAUAUUUAUAUGUUUAGGUUAAAUUAUAUGAGUCUACUAAUUCAAAGUUCUAUAAGAGUGAACAAUGGUACAACCUUUUUCGCGUUAUUAAAAGGGACCAGCAAAAUGCAACUUUUGCUUGAAAGAACGAAGCAAUCUACAUGCCAUGCAAAAAACGGGAAGGAAAUUGCACGUCAGAUUUAAUUUCCCCAAUUUGUAUCAAGAUUUGAUUUUUUUUCUCCAAAUGUGAACGUAUCCUACCUUAUCUCCGACGCCAGUGAGAAUCAAACCCAUCUUCAUUCUGCAUUUGCUAAACCUAAUAAGAAACCAGGAUGAAGAAAGUCAUUAAGAAAGUUAUGCAUUCAACCACAACUCGAGCCCUCAAAAGUAGAUACAAAAAAUGUAAAAAGAAUUUCAAAUGAUAGAAACAACUAUAAGUUGAAAACGGGCUCGUUCAGACAGUAACUUCAAUAAUGAACUCUGAAACGAUUACUCCUCGAUUUGGUUCAGAAUAACUAUAUAG